rnacentral:rRNA from 1 species
UGACGUUUUUCGGAAUGUAAAGUGCUUUCAGUCGGGAAGAAGUCAGUGACGGUACCGACAGAAGAAGCGACGGCUAAAUACGUGCCAGCAGCCGCGGUAAUACGUAUGUCGCAAGCGUUAUCCGGAUUUAUUGGGCGUAAAGCGCGUCUAGGCGGCAAGGAAAGUCUGAUGUGAAAAUGCGGAGCUCAACUCCGUAUGGCGUUGGAAACUGCCUUACUAGAGUACUGGAGAGGUAGGCGGAACUACAAGUGUAGAGGUGAAAUUCGUAGAUAUUUGUAGGAAUGCCGAUGGGGAAGCCAGCCUACUGGACAGAUACUGACGCUAAAGCGCGAAAGCGUGGGUAGCAAACAGGAUUAUAUACCCUGGUAGUCCACGCUGUAAACGAUGAUUACUAGGUGUU